rfam:Ictidomys tridecemlineatus contig006661, whole genome shotgun sequence.
GGGCUUGUGGCUCUGUGGUAGAGCCCUUGCCUAGCAUGCUUGAGGCACUGGGUUCAAUCCCCAGCACCA